GAAUAUUGGACAAUGGGGGGAGCCCUGAUCCAGCCAUGCCGCGUGUGUGAAGCAGGCCUUUUGGUUGUAAAGCACUUUAAGCGAGGAGGAGGCUACUCUAGUUAAUACCUAGGGUUAGUGGCCGUUGCUCGCAGCAUAAGCCCCGGCUAACUCUUUGCCAUCAGCCUCGGUAAUACAGAGGGUGCAAGCGUUAAUCGGAUUUACUGGGCGUAAAGCGCGCGUAGGUGGCCAAUUAAGUCAAAUGUGAAAUCCCCGAGCUUAACUUGGGAAUUGCAUUCGAUACUGGUUGGCUAGAGUAUGGGAGAGGAUGGUAGAAUUCCAGGUGUAGCGGUGAAAUGCGUAGAGAUCUGGAGGAAUACCGAUGGCGAAGGCAGCCAUCUGGCCUAAUACUGACACUGAGGUGCGAAAGCAUGGGGAGCAAACA
rnacentral:rRNA from 1 species